CCUACGGGAGGCAGCAGUGAGGAAUAUUGGUCAAUGGGCGCGAGCCUGAACCAGCCAAGUAGCGUGAAGGAUGACUGCCCUACGGGUUGUAAACUUCUUUUAUAAAGGAAUAAAGUGAGGCACGUGUGCCUUUUUUUAUGUACUUUAUGAAUAAGGAUCUGCUAACUCCGUGCUAGCAGCCGCGGUAAUACGGAGGAUCCGAGCGUUAUCCGGAUUGAUUGUGUUUAAAGGGAGCGUAGAGGGGUUGUUAAGUCAGUUGUGAAAGUCUGCGGCUCAACCGUAAAAUUGCAAUUGAUACUGGCGGUCUUGAGUACAGAUGAGGUAGGCGGAAUUCGUGGUGUAGCGGUGAAAUGCUUAGAUAUCACGAAGAACUCCGAUUGCGAAGGCAGCUUACUAAACUGCAACUGACAUUGAUGCUCGAAAGUGUGGGUAUCAAACAGGAUUAGAUACCCUGGUAGUC
rnacentral:rRNA from 1 species